rnacentral:rRNA from 1 species
GGGUUGUGAGGUUAAGCGACUAAGCGUACACGGUGGAUGCCCUGGCAGUCAGAGGCGAUGAAGGACGUGCUAAUCUGCGAAAAGCGUCGGUAAGGUGAUAUGAACCGUUACAGCCGGCGAUGUCCGAAUGGGGAAACCCAGUGCAAUUCGUUGCACUAUCGUUAACUGAAUACAUAGGUUAACGAGGCGAACCGGGGGAACUGAAACAUCUAAGUACCCCGAGGAAAAGAAAUCAACCGAGAUUCCCCCAGUAGCGGCGAGCGAACGGGGAGCAGCCCAGAGUCUGAAUCAGCUUGUGUGUUAGUGGAACGGUCUGGAAAGUCCGACGGUACAGGGUGAUAGUCCCGUACACCAAAAUGCACAGGUUGUGAACUCGAAGAGUAGGGCGGGACACGUGGUAUCCUGUCUGAAUAUGGUGGGACCAUCCUCCAAGGCUAAAUACUCCUGACUGACCGAUAGUGAACCAGUACCGUGAGGGAAAGGCGAAAAGAACCCCGGCGAGGGGAGUGAAAAAGAACCUGAAACCGUGUACGUACAAGCAGUGGGAGCACCUUCGGGUGUGACUGCGUACCUUUUGUAUAAUGGGUCAGCGACUUAUAUUCUGUAGCAAGGUUAACCGUAUAGGGGAGCCGCAGGGAAACCGAGUCUUAACUGGGCGUUAAGUUGCAGGGUAUAGACCCGAAACCCGGUGAUCUAGCCAUGGGCAGGUUGAAGGUUGGGUAACACUAACUGGAGGACCGAACCGACUAAUGUUGAAAAAUUAGCGGAUGACUUGUGGCUGGGGGUGAAAGGCCAAUCAAACCGGGAGAUAGCUGGUUCUCCCCGAAAGCUAUUUAGGUAGCGCCUCGUGAACUCAUCUUCGGGGGUAGAGCACUGUUUCGGCUAGGGGGUCAUCCCGACUUACCAACCCGAUGCAAACUACGAAUACCGAAGAAUGUUAUCACGGGAGACACACGGCGGGUGCUAACGUCCGUCGUGAAGAGGGAAACAACCCAGACCGCCAGCUAAGGUCCCAAAGUCAUGGUUAAGUGGGAAACGAUGUGGGAAGGCACAGACAGCCAGGAUGUUGGCUUAGAAGCAGCCAUCAUUUAAAGAAAGCGUAAUAGCUCACUGGUCGAGUCGGCCUGCGCGGAAGAUGUAACGGGGCUAAACCAUGCACCGAAGCUGCGGCAGCGACACUAUGUGUUGUUGGGUAGGGGAGCGUUCUGUAAGCCUGCGAAGGUGUGCUGUGAGGCAUGCUGGAGGUAUCAGAAGUGCGAAUGCUGACAUAAGUAACGAUAAAGCGGGUGAAAAGCCCGCUCGCCGGAAGACCAAGGGUUCCUGUCCAACGUUAAUCGGGGCAGGGUGAGUCGACCCCUAAGGCGAGGCCGAAAGGCGUAGUCGAUGGGAAACAGGUUAAUAUUCCUGUACUUGGUGUUACUGCGAAGGGGGGACGGAGAAGGCUAUGUUAGCCGGGCGACGGUUGUCCCGGUUUAAGCAUGUAGGCUGGUUAUCCAGGCAAAUCCGGAUAAUCAAGGCUGAGGUGUGAUGACGAGGCACUACGGUGCUGAAGUAACAAAUGCCCUGCUUCCAGGAAAAGCCUCUAAGCAUCAGGUAACAUCAAAUCGUACCCCAAACCGACACAGGUGGUCAGGUAGAGAAUACCAAGGCGCUUGAGAGAACUCGGGUGAAGGAACUAGGCAAAAUGGUGCCGUAACUUCGGGAGAAGGCACGCUGGUGUGUAGGUGAAGUCCCUGCGGAUGGAGCUGAGACCAGUCGAAGAUACCAGCUGGCUGCAACUGUUUAUUAAAAACACAGCACUGUGCAAACACGAAAGUGGACGUAUACGGUGUGACGCCUGCCCGGUGCCGGAAGGUUAAUUGAUGGGGUUAUCCGUAAGGAGAAGCUCUUGAUCGAAGCCCCGGUAAACGGCGGCCGUAACUAUAACGGUCCUAAGGUAGCGAAAUUCCUUGUCGGGUAAGUUCCGACCUGCACGAAUGGCGUAAUGAUGGCCAGGCUGUCUCCACCCGAGACUCAGUGAAAUUGAACUCGCUGUGAAGAUGCAGUGUACCCGCGGCAAGACGGAAAGACCCCGUGAACCUUUACUAUAGCUUGACACUGAACAUUGAGCCUUGAUGUGUAGGAUAGGUGGGAGGCUUUGAAGCGUGGACGCCAGUCUGCGUGGAGCCAACCUUGAAAUACCACCCUUUAAUGUUUGAUGUUCUAACGUUGGCCCCUGACCGGGGUUGCGGACAGUGUCUGGUGGGUAGUUUGACUGGGGCGGUCUCCUCCCAAAGCGUAACGGAGGAGCACGAAGGUUAGCUAAUCCUGGUCGGACAUCAGGAGGUUAGUGCAAUGGCAUAAGCUAGCUUGACUGCGAGCGUGACGGCGCGAGCAGGUGCGAAAGCAGGUCAUAGUGAUCCGGUGGUUCUGAAUGGAAGGGCCAUCGCUCAACGGAUAAAAGGUACUCCGGGGAUAACAGGCUGAUACCGCCCAAGAGUUCAUAUCGACGGCGGUGUUUGGCACCUCGAUGUCGGCUCAUCACAUCCUGGGGCUGAAGUAGGUCCCAAGGGUAUGGCUGUUCGCCAUUUAAAGUGGUACGCGAGCUGGGUUUAGAACGUCGUGAGACAGUUCGGUCCCUAUCUGCCGUGGGCGCUGGAGAAUUGAGGGGGGCUGCUCCUAGUACGAGAGGACCGGAGUGGACGCAUCACUGGUGUUCGGGUUGUCAUGCCAAUGGCACUGCCCGGUAGCUAAAUGCGGAAGAGAUAAGUGCUGAAAGCAUCUAAGCACGAAACUUGCCCCGAGAUGAGUUCUCCCUGAGACUUUAAGUCUCCUGAAGGAACGUUAAAGACGAUGACGUUGAUAGGCCGGGUGUGUAAGCGCAGCGAUGCGUUGAGCUAACCGGUACUAAUGAACCGUGAGGCUUAACCUUACAACGCCGAAG